rnacentral:rRNA from 1 species
AUUGAACGCUGGCGGCAUGCCUUACACAUGCAAGUCGAACGGCAGCACGGACUUCGGUCUGGUGGCGAGUGGCGAACGGGUGAGUAAUGUAUCGGAACGUACCUUUCAGUGGGGGAUAACGUAGCGAAAGUUACGCUAAUACCGCAUAUUCUGUGGGCAGGAAAGCAGGGGAUCGAAAGACCUUGCGCUGAUUGAGCGGCCGAUAUCAGAUUAGCUAGUUGGUGGGGUAAAGGCCUACCAAGGCGACGAUCUGUAGCGGGUCUGAGAGGAUGAUCCGCCACACUGGAACUGAGACACGGUCCAGACUCCUACGGGAGGCAGCAGUGGGGAAUUUUGGACAAUGGGGGCAACCCUGAUCCAGCCAUGCCGCGUGAGUGAAGAAGGCCUUCGGGUUGUAAAGCUCUUUCGGCCGGGAAGAAAUCGCAUAGGCUAAUACCCUGUGUGGAUGACGGUACCGGAAUAAGAAGCACCGGCUAACUACGUG